rnacentral:rRNA from 1 species
UACGGGGGGGGCAAGCGUUGUUCGGAAUUACUGGGCGUAAAGGGCUCGUAGGCGGCCAACUAAGUCGGAUGUGAAAUCCCCAGGCUUAACCUGGGAACUGCAUCCGAUACUGGAUGGCUUGAAUCCGGGAGAGGGAUGCGGAAUUCCAGGUGUAGCGGUGAAAUGCGUAGAUAUCUGGAGGAACACCGGUGGCGAAGGCGGCCUGCUGGGCAGUGGCUGACACUGAGGCGCGACAGCGUGGGGAGCAAACAGG